CCAGACUCCUACGGGAGGCAGCAGUGGGGGAUAUUGCACAAUGGGGGGAACCCUGAUGCAGCGACGCCGCGUGGGUGAAGAAGCGCCUCGGCGCGUAAAGCCCUGUCAGCAGGGAAGAAAAUGACGGUACCUGAAGAAGAAGCCCCGGCUAACUACGUGCCAGCAGCCGCGGUAAUACGUAGGGGGCGAGCGUUAUCCGGAUUCACUGGGUGUAAAGGGAGCGUAGACGGCCAUGCAAGCCAGGGGUGAAAGCCCGGGGCCCAACCCCGGGACUGCCCUUGGAACUGCAUGGCUGGAGUGCGGGAGGGGCAGGCGGAAUUCCUGGUGUAGCGGUGAAAUGCGUAGAUAUCAGGAGGAACACCGGCGGCGAAGGCGGCCUGCUGGACCGUGACUGACGUUGAGGCUCGAGAGCGUGGGGAGCAAACAGGAUUAGAUACCCUAGUA
rnacentral:rRNA from 1 species